CGGGGCGUGGCUCAGUUUGGCUAGAGCGUCUGCUUUGGGAGCAGAAGGUCACAGGUUCAAGUCCUGUCGCCCCGACCA
rnacentral:tRNA from 1 species